UGGAAUAACUGCAAUUGAGACCUAGAUUGGA
rnacentral:piRNA from 1 species